GGUAGCUCGGUUGGUUAGCGCAUGGUGCUGACAACACCAAGGUUGCAGGUUUGAUCCCCGUAUGGGACA